AUGCACAUGCUGUGAGCUCGAUGAGUAGGGCGGGACACGUGGUAUCCUGUCUGAAUAUGGGGGGACCAUCCUCCAAGGCUAAAUACUCCUGACUGACCGAUAGUGAACCAGUACCGUGAGGGAAAGGCGAAAAGAACCCCGGCGAGGGGAGUGAAAAAGAACCUGAAACCGUGUACGUACAAGCAGUGGGAGCACGCUUCGGCGUGUGACUGCGUACCUUUUGUAUAAUGGGUCAGCGACUUAUAUUCUGUAGCAAGGUUAACCGAAUAGGGGAGCCGAAGGGAAACCGAGUCUUAACUGGGCGUUAAGUUGCAGGGUAUAGACCCGAAACCCGGUGAUCUAGCCAUGGGCAGGUUGAAGGUUGGGUAACACUAACUGGAGGACCGAACCGACUAAUGUUGAAAAAUUAGCGGAUGACUUGUGGCUGGGGGUGAAAGGCCAAUCAAACCGGGAGAUAGCUGGUUCUCCCCGAAAGCUAUUUAGGUAGCGCCUCGUGAAUUCAUCUCCGGGGGUAGAGCACUGUUUCGGCAAGGGGGUCAUCCCGACUUACCAACCCGAUGCAAACUGCGAAUACCGGAGAAUGUUAUCACGGGAGACACACGGCGGGUGCUAACGUCCGUCGUGAAGAGGGAAACAACCCAGACCGCCAGCUAAGGUCCCAAAGUCAUGGUUAAGUGGGAAACGAUGUGGGAAGGCCCAGACAGCCAGGAUGUUGGCUUAGAAGCAGCCAUCAUUUAAAGAAAGCGUAAUAGCUCACUGGUCGAGUCGGCCUGCGCGGAAGAUGUAACGGGGCUAAACCAUGCACCGAAGCUGCGGCAGCGACGCUGAUGCGUUGUUGGGUAGGGGAGCGUUCUGUAAGCCUGCGAAGGUGUGCUGUGAGGCAUGCUGGAGGUAUCAGAAGUGCGAAUGCUGACAUAAGUAACGAUAAAGCGGGUGAAAAGCCCGCUCGCCGGAAGACCAAGGGUUCCUGUCCAACGUUAAUCGGGGCAGGGUGAGUCGACCCCUAAGGCGAGGCCGAAAGGCGUAGUCGAUGGGAAACAGGUUAAUAUUCCUGUACUUGGUGUUACUGCGAAGGGGGGACGGAGAAGGCUAUGUUGGCCGGGCGACGGUUGUCCCGGUUUAAGCGUGUAGGCUGGUUUUCCAGGCAAAUCCGGAAAAUCAAGGCUGAGGCGUGAUGACGAGGCACUACGGUGCUGAAGCAACAAAUGCCCUGCUUCCAGGAAAAGCCUCUAAGCAUCAGGUAACAUCAAAUCGUACCCCAAACCGACACAGGUGGUCAGGUAGAGAAUACCAAGGCGCUUGAGAGAACUCGGGUGAAGGAACUAGGCAAAAUGGUGCCGUAACUUCGGGAGAAGGCACGCUGAUAUGUAGGUGAAGCGACUUGCUCGUGGAGCUGAAAUCAGUCGAAGAUACCAGCUGGCUGCAACUGUUUAUUAAAAACACAGCACUGUGCAAACACGAAAGUGGACGUAUACGGUGUGACGCCUGCCCGGUGCCGGAAGGUUAAUUGAUGGGGUUAGCGCAAGCGAAGCUCUUGAUCGAAGCCCCGGUAAACGGCGGCCGUAACUAUAACGGUCCUAAGGUAGCGAAAUUCCUUGUCGGGUAAGUUCCGACCUGCACGAAUGGCGUAAUGAUGGCCAGGCUGUCUCCACCCGAGACUCAGUGAAAUUGAACUCGCUGUGAAGAUGCAGUGUACCCGCGGCAAGACGGAAAGACCCCGUGAACCUUUACUAUAGCUUGACACUGAACAUUGAGCCUUGAUGUGUAGGAUAGGUGGGAGGCUUUGAAGUGUGGACGCCAGUCUGCAUGGAGCCGACCUUGAAAUACCACCCUUUAAUGUUUGAUGUUCUAACGUUGACCCGUAAUCCGGGUUGCGGACAGUGUCUGGUGGGUAGUUUGACUGGGGCGGUCUCCUCCUAAAGAGUAACGGAGGAGCACGAAGGUUGGCUAAUCCUGGUCGGACAUCAGGAGGUUAGUGCAAUGGCAUAAGCCAGCUUGACUGCGAGCGUGACGGCGCGAGCAGGUGCGAAAGCAGGUCAUAGUGAUCCGGUGGUUCUGAAUGGAAGGGCCAUCGCUCAACGGAUAAAAGGUACUCCGGGGAUAACAGGCUGAUACCGCCCAAGAGUUCAUAUCGACGGCGGUGUUUGGCACCUCGAUGUCGGCUCAUCACAUCCUGGGGCUGAAGUAGGUCCCAAGGGUAUGGCUGUUCGCCAUUUAAAGUGGUACGCGAGCUGGGUUUAGAACGUCGUGAGACAGUUCGGUCCCUAUCUGCCGUGGGCGCUGGAGAACUGAGGGGGGCUGCUCCUAGUACGAGAGGACCGGAGUGGACGCAUCACUGGUGUUCGGGUUGUCAUGCCAAUGGCACUGCCCGGUAGCUAAAUGCGGAAGAGAUAAGUGCUGAAAGCAUCUAAGCACGAAACUUGCC
rnacentral:rRNA from 1 species